rnacentral:lncRNA from 1 species
AGAGAUGAGUGCUCUAAAAAAACAAGGAAAUAAAAAGGAGCAAGUGCUCGGAACCUCGAAAGAAAAGAAAAAGUGAGACGAGAGGUAAAAAUGGACAAGUGUCCGACAGUAGAAUUAGGGGUACAAGAUACCCACCUGAGAGAAAAGAAAAAUGAAGAGCAUCUCAUUCUCCACAUAAAGUUUCAAAAAGCAAGGAAGGUAUGUAUCCCUCAAAGAGCAAAGUAGAAUUAGACUUCCACCAUUGUUAUCACCAUCAUCACCAUACACCAUUCAUUCGCCACACAUGCACAUCUUGAUUAAACUUAUUGGCUUGUUUCUUUGGAUCCAUGGUUUGACUAUGCAAUAAAUGUCUUAUGAGUAUGUAUACUUUAUCUCCCACCUAUGAGCUCCAGAUAUUAAAGCCUUAUUAGAGUAGGGUG